AUGUCUUGUUGUUUUGGAAUCAAGCUUCCCAAAAAUAUCUUUCCUGUAAGUAUUGGGGUAAACGGUCAUACAUGUCAUUGUGUGUGUUUGCCUUCAUUUCCUUGCAGCAGGAAUCUAGUGCUGGGUGAUCACUGCUACGAGGGGUUGCUUUCCUUCAUGCCCUCUGACCCGUUCUGCCAAAGCCUCUUCCAGCAUGUGCCACAAGCCCACCUGUUCCAGAGACACAAAUGGGACCAGUUGCCUCUAGGAGCAGUUAUCUUGACACAAAACUGUCCGUACAGCGCUGCUGGAAAAAGGGUAUAACAGUGGAGAAGCUGAGAUACUCAUCUGAGUGGAAAAAAGCAAGAAGUUGAGGAGUUGCUGAUAUUUAUGUCAUAGUCCAGAUGAGAAGAAACUAAACGAAGUUUAAAUUAUUCCAUGGUUCAAUUUACAGAAUCUGAGGCCCCAGGGCUGAGAGAGGACUGCAUUACAAAGGGCAACUGGGAGACCAGAGCCGUGAGCUACGCUUCAGGUUGUUCAAAGCAGCUGGCUGGUUGCUUACAGACAUUUCAGGGGGAGGGUUCCUGUUGUCAGCCGACUGAAGUUGGCCUCUGCUGUCACAAGGAUGAUUGGUAAGAAAAAUUCUGUGUCAGCUUUUAUUUGAACUAGAGCACAUGCUAGAAGAAGGCUGUUCACCAGUCCAGAGGUGGCACCAGCAGAGGGGACCACCCUUAGGGUUCUUCAGCACUUUUCCACCUUACCGUUUAAUAUGCAAUAGAUGGAGUGUGAGGACUUUUCUUCUAGUGUUCCUGCAAAAAGUGCAAUUUCUAAAUUUCAAAUUACAUUGUCACCACUGAAAAGUAUAUAUUGCUAGUUUUGCUGCGUUUGGGAAAGCAGAAAUAUAGAGAGAGAUGCACCACAGAAACAUAGCUGAAUUGCUGUAAAAACAUGCAGCUCUUAAUGAGGAAAGGCAGCAGCUCCUCAUGCCCACAGUACUUCUCAAACAGAUGAAUGGGUCUCCAUUGGCAGCCCCCAGGCAGUUUCUACCAGGGGAGCCUGGUAGCAAUUCCCACCCGCUGGUUUCAGAUGUGCCACCUAGCACCAUCCCGGUAUUGAAUCAGGUGAAGACCCAGGUCACAUCUCUCCUGGAAAGCUAGACAUGUGGAGGAGUCACAGUGCUCUCAGGAGAUCCCAUAACCAAGGUGACUGAGAACCAAGAUGUGCUGUGGUCUUGCUGUGGAGUACAUCUGUCUUUCUGGGUACACGUAGUUAGCCAUUGAUGCCCCAAAACUGAAGGCAUGGCUAUUACCCAGGAAGUGCGUCUAUACAGGUAAGGAGAAAAUAACAUCUAGGAGACUUGUUUUGAAAUUGCAGUGGCAGCCAGAAAGACUGCCUUUUGUCACACCUUACGUUGCUUUCAUAAAAUAUUCAUAGAAACAUGUGAAUGGUGAGCCGUAACCAAAGCACGUUUUAUUUCUAAAUGCAGCAUUCUCCCAGUCAAGGGAGAUGCAUGGCAGGUUUCCUUACAGCAGCAGAAGUUGUAAGACAGCUAGCUAUCCGGUCAGAAUUAACCUAGAAGUGAAGUCUUCAUAUCAGUAGGAACUAUGUAUUGGCUUGGAUUUUAUUUCCUCUUUGUACCCUUGUUUUGUCCCAAACUGUAUGCAAUAAAAUAGGUUAAUUAUUCA
ensembl:lncRNA